rnacentral:rRNA from 1 species
CCUGGGGGGCUGCAGUGGGGAAUAUUGGACAAUGGGCGAAAGCCUGAUCCAGCCAUGCCGCGUGUGUGAAGAAGGCCUUCGGGUUGUAAAGCACUUUCAGUGGGGAAGAAAGCCUUGGGGCUAAUACCCUCGAGGAAGGACAUCACCCACAGAAGAAGCACCGGCUAACUCCGUGCCAGCAGCCGCGGUAAUACGGAGGGUGCGAGCGUUAAUCGGAAUUACUGGGCGUAAAGCGCGCGUAGGCGGUCUGAUAAGCCGGUUGUGAAAGCCCCGGGCUCAACCUGGGAACGGCAUCCGGAACUGUCAGGCUAGAGUGCAGGAGAGGAAGGUAGAAUUCCCGGUGUAGCGGUGAAAUGCGUAGAGAUCGGGAGGAAUACCAGUGGCGAAGGCGGCCUUCUGGACUGACACUGACGCUGAGGUGCGAAAGCGUGGGUAGCAAACAGGAUUAGAUACCCCAGUAGUC